UUGUAAUCAAGUAAUUGUACCAAGUGUUCUAAAAAACUUAACUAGCACAGUAUUCUCAUAAUGACAGAAAUAUGCAAUUCUAAUCACAGUACCAAUACAAACAUGUGUCACAUGCAUAUAUCUCAUAUCAAAUAUCAAGAAUUGAAAUUACUCUACAGACGCUUGAAAAUCAAAACAUUCUCACCAUAUACUACCUUUACAGUAACAAGAACACUAAGCUAGUCUCAACCCGAGGAUUGGAACUCCUCCUUUACUGGGAGUAAUCCGUGGUGAACUCACCACUUUUCACCAAGUUUUUUCCUUCCAAACAACAGCACAAAAGCGACAAGAAUUAGAUCUUUCAAUUUAUAUUAAAGAAUUGAUCUAACACAAGUAACCCCCAAGUGAUUUUUGUUUAAAAAAAACUUGAACCCCCUAAAGAAGAAUUGAACCAAAAAAAAUUUGACUCAAACAAUUUUUUGUUCAAAAGACUUGCAACCCCAGUGAGCUCGAAGGCUCUGAUACCAGUUGUUAGAGUUCUUUUUUCGCACAGUUAAAGAAAACAGUAAUUAAAAAAUCAAACACAGUGCAAGAAAAUGUAAAAGAACACCAUAAAGUUGUUCACCCAGUUCAGUAAUCGCCUAAUCUGGGGGGCCCGAUUACUAAGAACAUGAAAACCAUCCAAAACAGAGAGUACAUAUCUGGAAAACUCAAUCAGACCCAGAAAUAGUCAUCAAUCCACACAUGGAUCUCUUAAAUCUCAAAACCUAACAAAAAACACGAACAAGACUUUCAGGCAACCACUACAGACACCCAAUCAACUACUAUUGUAGGCAUGUUUACUGUAUCAACAUGAAUCACAUAGAUUCAACCAAUAUUUUGGCUGGAAAAUUUAUAAGAGAUCAAAGAUCGAAGAAACCAAAAGAAGAAGACUGAGAGUCUAGAGAGAGAAACUUGAAAAAUCCAGAGACCAAGAAAAAGUGAAAGUGGCCUCAACUAUCCAGCUCCCCAAGAAUCUCAUAGUGGGGUAGAUUAAUCUUAGUCGUCGAUUGAAUCCAACGGUCCAGCAACCUCACAAAGAAGCACAAUUCAAGUGAACACAUUAGAGCCUAUCCGGGGUUUUCAUGUGGCCUUCCAACCAGAUUAGCAAAUUAAACGAGUCGUAUUUUUUGAGAAACACGAGUUACACUUUACACAAAAAUUGAUAGAAAUCUGAACAUAAGUGUCAAUAUCUUAAAACGAUGCCUCUACCAACCAUUUAUCUAUUCUUCAUUUACAUAUUAAUUGUUGGCUUAUUUUGAAUACUUCUCACAACUGAGUAACAAUAGCAAAGGAUGUCAACUCAAAAUACCUUGAUCCCUCACUGAGUUCUGUAGUUACUCAUAGUAAUUUGCAAGGUCUGCAUAAAAGAGGAAUACUAAUAGUUUUGCUUUCAAGAUAGUACAAUCCAUUUCUUUUUGGUAGCACUUCUUGUUGCUUUUAUCUUUAGAUUUUGAUCUGGUUUUGGAUUUCCCUUUUCCCUUCUUUGUGGAAAAAUUAGUUUCUUUCUUUUCAAGUCUUCCUCCUGCAAACAUGCUUUCAUCUCUAGGAUUAGAUUUAGUUUCUUUUUUAACUUCUAACUCCCUAGAUUUCAAAGCAUCAACAACUAUAGCUUGAGUUAAUUUAUCCCUUGAGUAUUUUAUUGCACUUCUGACGUCUUUAUAUGAGUCAAGUAAUGAGUUAGCAGGAUUGCAGGAAGAUCUUUGUCGUCAAAUUCUUCUCAUUAUGUGCAAGGCUUUUAACUAUGAUACUAAAUUCAUUCAAAUUUACCUCUAAGUCUUUCACAGGUCCAUCCUAAAGCUAAACAGUUUUUCCAAGAGAUAAAUUUUAUUUGGCAGUGAUUUAGCUAAGAACAUGGCAUUAAGAACAAUUUCAUUCAUGUCUUCAAUUUUAUUUGAUUUUGCCUUAAGUUCAGCAGAAAAAGUUUCAGGAUCAUUAAGGGCCUUAGCGACCCUCUGUUGAAUCAGAAUGACUCUCAUUUUCUACUUCCAUAUGGAGUAAUACUCUUUUCCAUCUAACUAAGACAAUUUCACCUUCGAACCCAUCUCAGGUUCUAUAAAAGGGUGGCUUAUACUCAUGGACAUAGUGUAAUCUUGAAUUAAAGAUUAACUAGUGAGAAAAAAAUGAUUUGAGAUAUUUUUAAGAGUUUAAGCAGAUAUGUGUGCACCAACUUGAAAUAAAGGCAAUAAUAUUUGAUACAGAGUGAGUUAUGCUUGUAAUCAAGUAAUUGUACCAAGUGUUCUAAAAAACUUAACUAGCACAGUAUUCUCAUAAUGACAGAAAUAUGCAAUUCUAAUCACAGUACCAAUACAAACAUGUGUCACAUGCAUAUAUCUCAUAUCAAAUAUCAAGAAUUGAAAUUACUCUACAGACGCUUGAAAAUCAAAACAUUCUCACCAUAUACUACCUUUACAGUAACAAGAACACUAAGCUAGUCUCAACCCGAGGAUUGGAACUCCUCCUUUACUGGGAGUAAUCCGUGGUGAACUCACCACUUUUCACCAAGUUUUUUCCUUCCAAACAACAGCACAAAAGCGACAAGAAUUAGAUCUUUCAAUUUAUAUUAAAGAAUUGAUCUAACACAAGUAACCCCCAAGUGAUUUUUGUUUAAAAAAAACUUGAACCCCCUAAAGAAGAAUUGAACCAAAAAAAAUUUGACUCAAACAAUUUUUUGUUCAAAAGACUUGCAACCCCAGUGAGCUCGAAGGCUCUGAUACCUGUUGUUAGAGUUCUUUUUUCGUACAGUUAAAGAAAACAGUAAUUAAAAAAUCAAACACAGUGCAAGAAAAUGUAAAAGAACACCAUAAAGUUGUUCACCCAGUUCGGUAAUCGCCUAAUAUGGGGGGCCCGAUUACUAAGAACAUGAAAACCAUCCAAAACAGAGAGUACAUAUCUGGAAAACUCAAUCAGACCCAGAAAUAGUCAUCAAUCCACACAUGGAUCUCUUAAAUCUCAAAACCUAACAAAAAACACGAACAAGACUUUCAGGCAACCACUACAGACACCCAAUCAACUACUAUUGUAGGCAUGUUUACUGUAUCAACAUGAAUCACAUAGAUUCAACCAAUAUUUUGGCUGGAAAAUUUAUAAGAGAUCAAAGAUCGAAGAAACCAAAAGAAGAAGACUGAGAGUCUAGAGAGAGAAACUUGAAAAAUCCAGAGACC
rnacentral:lncRNA from 1 species